AACGAACGCUGGCGGCAUGCCUAACACAUGCAAGUCGAACGAGACCUCCGGGCCUAGUGGCGCUCGGGUGCGUAACGCGUGGGAACUUGCCCUUAGGUUCGGUAUCACUCCCCGAAAGGGGUGCUAAUACCGGAUAAGGUCUUCGGACCUAAGAUUUAUCGCCUUUGGAUGGGCCCGCGUUGGAUUAGCUAGUUGGUAGGGUAAAAGCCUACCAAGGCGACGAUCCAUAGCUGGUCUGAGAGGAUGAUCAGCCACACUGGGACUGAGACACGGCCCAGACUCCUACGGGAGGCAGCAGUGGGGAAUAUUGGACGAUGGGCGAAAGCCUGAUCCAGCAAUGCCGCGUGAGUGAUGAAGGCCUUAGGGUUGUAAAGCUCUUUUACCCGGGAUGAUAAUGACAGUACCGGGAGAAUAAGCUCCGGCUAACUCCGUG
rnacentral:rRNA from 1 species